CCCCUCCCCUUGUGGUCGGUUCAGAAAUGGACUGACAGCCAGUGUGGCUCUGUGAGACUGGGGUAGAAUUGCUGGGGCUUCUAGAGGUUUUUUGUCCCCUUUGGGUUAGAGAGAAAGCUGCAGAUGACCAGUUUCUGUCUUCGGCUAGAUGUGAACAAGAACACCAGAUUGCUCCGGCUGCGUCCUGUGACCCCGAGGGAGUCCAGCACCAAACAGUGGCAGGGAGGCAGAAAGAGGCCUGAUUUCCAAAGCGAUGACUGAUGUGUGGCAUUACGGAAAACAGCCAUUACAGAGAAAUUGCCGUGGAGAAGGCUGCGGACUCAUUCUGCUGCUGUGCCUAGGAUCCAGGUGACCUUGGGUGAGUACUUUAGCUGCUAGAAGCCUUGAUUCCCUCCUCCAUGGAACGGUGGCCGAGCUAAGGCCUCCUCUGCAGCAGUGUUACAACGAGUCCAGGAGAAAUGCCAAGAGCACUCGACGAACUAUGAUUGUAUCACUCCGGAGCCUCCCUUAUGACGCAACCCGGGAUUCAUGCUGUAUGUCUCCCCAGAAAGGUGACUGCCUUAUAAAAA
rnacentral:lncRNA from 1 species